AUGGCAUGGAGCACUCUGAUCCAGCCAUGCCGCGUGUAGGAAGACUGCCCUAUGGGUUGUAAACUACUUUUAUAGAGGAAGAAAUGGCACUACGUGUAGUGUUUUGACGGUACUCUACGAAUAAGGAUCGGCUAACUCCGUGCCAGCAGCCGCGGUAAUACGGAGGAUCCAAGCGUUAUCCGGAAUCAUUGGGUUUAAAGGGUCCGUAGGCGGGUUUGUAAGUCAGUGGUGAAAGUUUUCGGCUCAACCGGAAAAUUGCCAUUGAUACUGCAAGUCUUGAAUCAUUGUGAAGUGGUUAGAAUGUGUAGUGUAGCGGUGAAAUGCAUAGAUAUUACACAGAAUACCGAUUGCGAAGGCAGAUCACUAACAAUGUAUUGACGCUAAGGGACGAAAGCGUGGGUAGCGAACAGGAUUAGAUACCCUGGUAGUCCACGCCGUAAACGAUGGUUACUAGCUGUUUGGACUUCGGUCUAAGUGGCUAAGCGAAAGUGAUAAGUAACCCACCUGGGGAGUACGUUCGCAAGAAUGAAACUCAAAGGGAAUUUGGCGG
rnacentral:rRNA from 1 species